UGCGAACUCCUACGGGAGGCAGCAGUGAGGAAUAUUGGUCAAUGGGCGAGAGCCUGAACCAGCCAAGUAGCGUGCAGGAUGACGGCCCUAUGGGUUGUAAACUGCUUUUAUGUGGGGAUAAAGUGAGCUACGUGUAGUUUAUUGCAGGUACCACAUGAAUAAGGACCGGCUAAUUCCGUGCCAGCAGCCGCGGUAAUACGGAAGGUCCAGGCGUUAUCCGGAUUUAUUGGGUUUAAAGGGAGCGUAGGCCGUGGAUUAAGCGUGUUGUGAAAUGUAGACGCUCAACGUCUGAAUUGCAGCGCGAACUGGUUCACUUGAGUAUGCACAACGUAGGCGGAAUUCGUCGUGUAGCGGUGAAAUGCUUAGAUAUGACGAAGAACUCCGAUUGCGAAGGCAGCUUACGGGAGCACAACUGACGCUGAAGCUCGAAGGUGCGGGUAUCAAACAGGAUUAGAUACCCUUGUAGUCCUAUC
rnacentral:rRNA from 1 species